CCUACGGGAGGCAGCAGUGAGGAAUAUUGGUCAAUGGGCGCGAGCCUGAACCAGCCAAGUAGCGUGAAGGAUGACUGCCCUACGGGUUGUAAACUUCUUUUAUAAAGGAAUAAAGUGAGGCACGUGUGCCUUUUUGUAUGUACUUUAUGAAUAAGGAUCGGCUAACUCCGUGCCAGCAGCCGCGGUAAUACGGAGGAUCCGAGCGUUAUCCGGAUUUAUUGGGUUUAAAGGGAGAGUAGAUGGGUUGUUAAGUCAGUUGUGAAAGUUUGCGGCUCAACCGGAAAAUUGCAAUUGAUACUGGCAGCCUUGAGUACAGUAGAGGUAGGCGGAAUUCGAGGUGUAGCGGUGAAAUGCGUAGAGAUCACGAAGAAUACCGAUUGCGAAGGCAGCUUACUAAACGGCCACUGACAUUGAUGCGCGAAAGUGUGGGGAUCAAACAGGAUUAGAUACCCUUGUAGUC
rnacentral:rRNA from 1 species